AGAGGUAUAGCAGCUUCCUGUUUCUCUCUGCACACUUCACCUAACACGUGGGCAGCAGAUGCAGACACAGGCUGAAGAAGAGCAAGAGUCCAGACAAGUGGAAAUUUCCAGGAAUGCUUACAGCAGCUCUUUGGUGACACCCAUUGGUUGCACAAUGCAAGAGGGCCAAAGAGAAGAUCGAAGAAGAGAAAGAAGAUCACAAUAUGGUUCUCCUACAGAAGGCAAUGCCCAGGGUAUCAGGUAAGCAAUUAUAUUUCCUAAAAUUUGGCACCCUGCAGUAAUUAUAAAUUCCCUUCUCCUUAAAGAGAACCUAUGUAUUAGAUGUAGAAACCAAUCCUGGCACAUGCAAGAGAGAGGGAGGGGAUCAUGGAGAGAGAAGGGGGGGGGGUCGGGAA